AUUCCAGCUCCAAUAGCGUAUAUUAAAGUUGUUGCAGUUAAAAAGCUCGUAGUUGAACUUUGGGCCCGGUUGGCCGGUCCGAUUUUUUCGUGUACUGGAUUUCCAACGGGGCCUUACCUUCUGGCUAACCUUGAGUCCUUGUGGCUCUUGGCGAACCGGGACUUUUACUUUGAAAAAAUUAGAGCGUUCAAAGCAGGCGUAUUGCUCGAAUAUAUUAGCAUGGAAUAAUAGAAUAGGACGUUUGGUUCUAUUUUGUUGGUUUCUAGGGCCAUCGUAAUGAUUAAUAGGGACGGUCGGGGGCAUCAGUAUUCAAUUGUCAGAGGUGAAAUUCUUGGAUUUAUUGAAGACUAACUACUGCGAAAGCAUUUGCCAAGGACGUUUUCAUUA
rnacentral:rRNA from 1 species